rnacentral:rRNA from 1 species
CUUGAGCGUUGACGUUACCUACAGAAGAAGCACUGGCUAACUCUGUGCCAGCAGCCGCGGUAAUACAGAGAGUGCAAGCGUUAAUCGGAAUCACUGGGCGUAAAGCGCGCGUAGGUGGAUAUUUAAGUCGGAUGUGAAAGCCCUAGGCUUAACCUAGGAACUGCAUUCGAUACUGGAUAUCUCGAGUAUGGUAGAGGGAAGUGGAAUUUCCGGUGUAGCGGUGAAAUGCGUAGAUAUCGGAAAGAACACCAGUGGCGAAGGCGGCUUCCUGGACCAAUACUGACACUGAGGCGCGAAAGCGUGGGGAGCAAACAGGAUUAGAGACCCUGGUAGUCCACGCCGUCAACGAUGAGAACUAGCUGUUGGAGAGUUUGCUUUCUAGUAGCGAAGCUAACGCGUUAAGUUCUCCGCCUGGGGAGUACGGCCGCAAGGUUAAAACUCAAAGAAAUUGACGGGGGCCCGCACAAGCGGUGGAGCAUGUGGUUU